ACUCGAGUGGCGAACGGGUGAGUAACACGUGGGUGAUCUGCCCUGCACUUCGGGAUAAGCCUGGGAAACUGGGUCUAAUACCGGAUAGGAGCCAUUUUUAGUGUGAUGGUUGGAAAGUUUUUCGGUGCAGGAUGAGCUCGCGGCCUAUCAGCUUGUUGGUGGGGUAAUGGCCUACCAAGGCUUUGACGGGUAGCCGGCCUGAGAGGGUGACCGGCCACAUUGGGACUGAGAUACGGCCCAG
rnacentral:rRNA from 1 species